CAUCUUCUAUCCACAAUGUCUGGAAAAGAGUAUUAAAACAAUGAAUACUUUGGAUAAGUUUUAUCCUUUGUAAUUGCAAGCUGCUCAGGAUCAAGAGCCAAGGCUAAUAGGAUCCAUCAGGGGA